UACGUAGGUGACAAGCGUUGUCCGGAUUUACUGGGCGUAAAGAGCGCGCAGGCGGUCGAUCAAGUCGAGUGUGAAAGCCCCCGGCUCAACUGGGGAGGGUCAUUCGAUACUGAUCGACUCGAAGGCAGGAGGAGGGUAGUGGAAUUCCCGGUGUAGUGGUGAAAUGCGUAGAUAUCGGGAAGAACACCCGUGGCGAAGGCGGCACUCUGGGACGGUACUGGACGCUGAGACGCGAAAGCGUGGGGAGCGAACGAGG
rnacentral:rRNA from 1 species